AUCCAGAGUACCACGGGACACGUGAAACCCUGUGGGAAGCAGGAGGGACCACCCUCCAAGGCUAAAUACUACCUAGUGACCGAUAGCGUAUAGUACCGUGAGGGAAAGGUGAAAAGAACCCCGGGAGGGGAGUGAAAUAGAACCUGAAACCCUGCACUUACAAGCUGUGGAAGCACAUUUCUUGUGUGACCGCGUACUUUUUGUAGAACGGGCCAACGAGUUACGUUAAGUAG
rnacentral:rRNA from 1 species